rnacentral:lncRNA from 1 species
GGAAGAACUUCACCCUGAGUCAUUAAGUUAAUGGCUUGGCUGUCACAUUGUGAUUUAUCGGUGAAAUUGCUCUUUUGAGUGCAGAGCAUAUAAAAGGAUAGUCAGUUUAUAAUCCAUGCUGUUGCAUAGUGGCAAUGGUCACGGAUAAGACGGACACUUCAGGAAGCAAGAUUGUUAGUAAAAUAAUAAUGCUUUCUCCUCUGUACAUACCACGACACUGUCUCAUGAACAGUGGGGCAUAAACUAUUCAAAUACAAUUUAGCCUUUGUAAACAGAAAAUGUGUUAGUGGAAAUGCUGAGAGAUUAUUUGGGAUUGUGGAUUUUGCUUUCUGGCAUCUCAUGGCCCUUAUGCUUUGCAUGAAUUACUAGGCUGGGGGUUUAGUUUGGGGUUUAAAAAGAAGAUUAGGCCUUUUCUCUUUGCUGUGACAUUGGAUUAGAGACUGACCUCUGAAUGUGCCUGAAUAAAAGCAAGUCCAAAUUUGGGAGGAUGAUUGGAUUAUGAUAAAGCUUUCAGGCCAACUCCAAGCACCUCUACGACAGCCAAAGGAUUUUCAGGGCCACAGGGACACACAGUAACUGGCUCUAAUUCUUUUCUCUGGCUUAAAGCCUCUGAAGAAGCUUAAUAAUUAAAGAGGCACACCAACAGAGAGUUUUUAAGGACUUGCCUGUAACUGCUUGUUUUGGCACCGUCUAAGUACCCGACAGGUUCCAGAGAGAAUGAAAUGGGGCAAUGAACUGAAAAGAUUUUAAGGCUAGGGUGUAUAUAAUAAUAACCUGGGUGUUUAUUUGUAAUGCAGGAAUGAGACUACAGAGUUAUAGACGGAUCUGUUAGCAUGUCCUUGCUGGUCAAGACUGUGACACACCCACCCCUUCAUGGAAAGAGACUCACCCAUUUUAAGCCACCCACAAAUACUUUCCUUGGUUUAUUCAGGACUUCUGCCUACAUUUACAUGUUUUUCUCUUACAGACCACACAGCACGUCCUGCGGGUCAGGCGAAAUAUGGAGAAGAUGAAUGGAUUCCUGAUUCUUACUUGGAAUUGUUCAGUUAAGGGAUUAUAUAUUCUGAUCCUUUUUGCUUCUCGGUGUGAUCAUUUGACUAGAUCUGACCAAUGAAAGAAAUUGUCAAUGGAGCCUCUGGUAAGUAUUCUUAAAGGAGAGGUAGCAGUACUUUCUUAUCCUCUUGAUUUACCUAUUCGCUUGGGAUGUUGGUAUGAUACUUAGAGAGACAGCAAUCAUGUUGAGCCCUAGAAGCUGGAGGCCCUCUCAUAGGCGGCCACAUUUUAGGUGUUACAGGGAGCAUGAAGAGGUCCUACGUCUCCUCCCUAUUUUCCCCAUUCUAAGUGAAGGAGAUAGUUUUGGAUAGAAGAAAGGAUAGAAUCUUUGAGAUGUAAGUAACGGUACAAUACUGUGGAAGAUAAUGACAGCUAUUCCU